ACUAAGCCAUGCGAGUCGAGAGGGUUCGGCCCUCGGCGAACUGCUCAGUAACACGUGGAUAAUCUAACCUUAGGUGGAGCAUAACCUCGGGAAACUGAGAAUAAUACUCCAUAGAUCUUUGAGGCUGGAAUGCGCUUAGAUUGAAAGCUCCGGCGCCUAAGGAUGAGUCUGCGGACUAUCAGGUAGUAGUUAGGGUAACGACCUGACUAGCCUACGACGGAUACGGGUUGUGAGAGCAAUAACCCGGAGAUGAUAUCUGAGACACGAUAUCAGGCCCUACGGGGCGCAGCAGGCGCGAAACCUUCACAAUGUGCGAAAGCGCGAUGAGGGGAUCCCAAGUGCUUGCACGUAAGUGUAAGCUGUUUCUUUGUUUAAAAAGCAGAGAGAGUAAGGGCUGGGUAAGACGGGUGCCAGCCGCCGCGGUAAUACCUGCAGCUCAAGUGGUGGCCGCUAUUAUUGGGCCUAAAACGUCCGUAGCCGGCUGAGUAAGUGCCUGGGUAAAUCGUGUGGCUUAACCAUACGAAUUCCGGGUAGACUGCUCAGCUUGAGACCGGAAGAAGUUAGAGGUACUCCUGGGGUAGGGGUGAAAUCCUGUAAUCCUGGGGGGACCACCAGUGGCGAAGGCGUCUAACUAGGACGGGUCUGACGGUGAGGGACGAAACCCUGGGGCGCAAACCGGAUUAGAUACCCGGGUAGUCCAGGGCGCAAACGCUGCUUGCUUGAUGUUAGCUGGGCUCCGAGCUCGGCUAGUGUCGGAGAGAAGUUGUUAAGCAAGCUGCCUGGGAAGUACGAUCGCAAGAUUGAAACUUAAAGGAAUUGGCGGGGGAGCACAGCAACGGGUGGAGCGUGCGGUUUAAUUGGAUUCAACG
rnacentral:rRNA from 1 species